GUGCUCCCUUGGGCAGCACAUAGACUAAAAUUGGAAUGAUACAGAGAAGAUUAGCAUGACCCCUGUGGAAGGAUGACACACAAGUUCAUAAAGUGUUCCAUAUUUAU
ensembl:snRNA U6 U6 spliceosomal RNA